rnacentral:rRNA from 1 species
AUUGAACGCUGGCGGCAGGCCUAACACAUGCAAGUCGAACGAGUGGCGGACGGGUGAGUAAUGUCUGGGAAACUGCCUGAUGGAGGGGGAUAACUACUGGAAACGGUAGCUAAUACCGCAUACCAUCGGAUGCGCCCAGAUGGGAUUAGCUUGUUGGUGGGGUAACGGCUCACCAAGGCGACGAUCCCUAGCUGGUCUGAGAGGAUGACCAGCCACACUGGGAAUAAGAGACGGACGAGACUCAACAGAGAAGCGCGAUUGGGAAUUAUGGCACGAUGGUCGAAAGCCUGAUGCAGACAUGCCGAGUGUAUGAUGGUGGCCUUCAGGUUGUAAAGUGCUUUCAGCGGGGAGGCGUUACCCAAAGAGGAAUCACCGGAUAACUCCGUGCCAGCAGCCGCGAUAAUAC